CUGAUCCAGCAAUGCCGCGUGAGUGAAGAAGGCCUUCGGGUUGUAAAGCUCUUUUGUCAGGGAAGAAACGGUGAGCUCUAAUACAGUUUGCUAAUGACGGUACCUGAAGAAUAAGCACCGGCUAACUACGUGCCAGCAGCCGCGGUAAUACGUAGGGUGCAAGCGUUAAUCGGAAUUACUGGGCGUAAAGCGUGCGCAGGCGGUUUUGUAAGUCUGUCGUGAAAUCCCCGGGCUCAACCUGGGAAUGGCGAUGGAGACUGCAAGGCUAGAGUUUGGCAGAGGGGGGUAGAAUUCCACGUGUAGCAGUGAAAUGCGUAGAUAUGUGGAGGAACACCGAUGGCGAAGGCAGCCCCCUGGGUCAAAACUGACGCUCAUGCACGAAAGCGUGGGGAGCAAACAGGAUUAGAUACCCUGGUAGUCCACGCCCUAAACGAUGUCUACUAGUUGUCGGGUCUUAAUUGACUUGGUAACGCAGCUAACGCGUGAAGUAGACCGCCUGGGGAGUACGGUCGCAAGAUUAAAACUCAAAGGAAUUGACGGGGACCCGCACAAGCGGUGGAUGAUGUGGAUUAAUUCGAUGCAACGCGAAAAACCUUACCUACCCUUGACAUGGAUGGAAUCCCUGAGAGAUUG
rnacentral:rRNA from 1 species